GACGAACGCUGGCGGCGUGCUUGACACAUGCAAGUCGAACGGAAAGGCCUGCUUUCCCUUGUGGAUUGCGGGUACUCGAGUGGCGAACGGGUGAGUAACACGUGAGUGAUCUGCCCCCAACUUGGGUAUAAGCCUGGGAAACUGGGUCUAAUUCCCGAUAGGACUGCAGGGUGGUGCCUGUGGUGGAAAACGAUUUUCUAGUGGUUGGGGAUGAGCUCGCGGCCUAUCAGCUUGUUGGUGGGGUAAUGGCCUACCAAGGCGGCGACGGGUAGCCGGCCUGAGAGGGUGGACGGCAACAUUGGGACUGAGAUACGGCCCAGACUCCUACGGGAGGCAGCAGUGGGGAAUAGUGCACAAUGGGCGGAAGCCUGAUGCAGCGACGCCGCGUGGGGGAUGACGGCCUUCGGGUGGUAAACUCCUUUCGACCGCGAGGAAACCACCUGGUUGGAAGGGUGGUGACGGUAGUGGUAGAAGAAGCACCGGCUAACUACGUG
rnacentral:rRNA from 1 species